rnacentral:rRNA from 1 species
UGCUUGUCACCGUUCUCGAGCGAGUGGCGAACGGGUGAGUAACACGUGGAUAACCUGCCUCUAGGCUGGGGAUAACAUUUGGAAACAGAUGCUAAUACCGAAUAAAACUUAUUAUCGCAUGAUACAAAGUUGAAAGGCGCUACGGCGUCCCCUAAAAAUGGGUCCGCGGGGCAUUACUUAGUUGGGGGGGUAAAGGCCUACCAAGACAAUGAUGCUUAGCCGAGUUGAAAGACUGAUCGGCCACAUUGGGACUGAAACACGGCCCAAACUCCUACGGGAGGCUGCAGUAGGGAAUCUUCCACAAUGGGCGAAAGCCUGAUGGAGCAACGCCGCGUGUGUGAUGAAGGCUUUAGGGUCGUAAAGCACUGUUGUAUGGGAAAAAAUGCUAGAAUAGGGAAUGAUUCUAGUUCGACGGUACCAUACCAGAAAGGGACGGCUAAAUACGUGCCAGCAGCCGCGGUAAUACGUAUGUCCCGAGCGUUAUCCGGAUUUAUUGGGCGUAAAGCGAGCGCAGACGGUUGAUUAAGUCUGAUGUGAAAGCCCGGAGCUCAACUCCGGAAUGGCAUUGGAAACUGGUUAACUUGAGUGUUGUAGAGGUAAGUGAAACUCCAUGUGUUAGC